ensembl:lncRNA
GACGCCAUAUUCCCCUCACUGCAUUGGGUCAGGUGGUGCAUGAUUGCCAUUUGUCUAUUACUCAUGUUCCCAUUGGUAUUUUGACUAGAGUGAUGUCUACCAGCUGUUUCCAUCAUAAAAAUGUAAAUUAACAUCUUAGGAGGAGGCCCUUGAAACUGUUCAGUUCUCCAUCAGACUUUCCAUUGAUUCACUUAAUUGUGUCCCAGUAAGUUAUAAUCCACUUAUUUCAUUACUUAUUUUGAUGUUUCAAAUACAUUUCGAUGUUCCUGAUUUGACCAGCAGGAUUCCCUUCAAGCUGCCUUCUGUGUUCUUUGGAUGUGUCCCUGUUCUUGAAGCACUUCCUUUCUAUUUGAAACAAGAUGUCCCAUGUGGGUCUUGGGCUUGUCCUGUCCCAGCCCUGGAAUCAGCCAAUUCUUCCAAGAGCCUGAUUCUUUUUAGUCAAGAAUUGAGUUUAGAAGCCAGGAUCUGGCCUAUUGACCUGAAGAUGUCCCUGCUUCUAGGUCCUCACGGAGGACAGAGCUGGGAAAUACAUGCGCAGUUGACUCUUGAACAACACAGGCAUGAACUAGGGUGGCCCAGGUCUGGGAGGAGGCACACCUGUGUUCUAGACACAGCUGUGCUUUCCAGGGGCUGGAGUCUCUUAGAGGAGUGAUUUGACCUUGGUGCCCUCGCUCUCAUCUGUAAAAUGAAGAGGCUUGACCAAAUCUGAAGUAAAAAACUGCAGUCCCAGGGCCGAGAUUGGCCUAUGUGCUUGGUUUAUAUUUAGGAGUGGGCUUUCAAAAAAAAAAAAAAAAUCGACGUUUCUUUAGAUGGGGGCUGUGCUCUCGAAUGAGCCACAGGUAGGCCGCAGCGCGGGUAAUCCUUCCCAGCUUCACACAUUUCCUUCCAGCCCAAGGAUUCCAUUUUAUUCUUUAGUCUCUGAUGAAUUAGGCUUAGCCUCACUCUAACCCUACUUGGCUGUAGACAUUUUUUUUCUACCAAGAAGAGUGAAUCAGCAUAUAGACGUCUAGGCAGGGCCCUGGUAUUUAUUUUGAAUAUGAUUUUAGCAGCUCUAACAGAGACUCUAAGAAUGAAGGCUCAGCAGGGUAGUUUCUCUCUGUUCUCUUUAGUAGGCCAGGGUGGACUGGUGACCUGGUGGUGUCUGGGCCUCAGGCAAAUUCUGGUUGUUAUUCUGCUUUGUGUAGGAUGGCUCAUCGCUGCCACGGGGAGGGCACUCUUCCAUUUAAGGGUGUGACCCGGAAGUCGCAUACUCAGUUCCACUCACAUGGGCAAAACUUAGUCACAUAGCACAUACAGCCGAAUGAGCAGUGGAGACACCUUUCUUUUGGGGAACCAUGUACUCCAGCAAAACUCGGGUGCUCUAUUAUGUUGAGAGGGGGCAGAAUGGAUAUUGGGGGGUGGUAACUAGCAACCCCCGUCACUGUUUUUUAAAAAUACCCCUCUCCGCCCCGUUUGGAACACCUGUCAUGUGUCCUUUUACUUCCUUCUGCUAUCAUGUCCUAGGACAGUUGUCGUUCAUCCCUUCAUAAAAAAAUAGCAGCAAUCAGCUUCCAAAAGCAGCCCAUUGGGGAAAUUUCAAAGUUGGGUAGGACAGAGUGGGAGGUGAAAGAGAGGAGUUGGGACAAAUGGGACAGUUGGAGGCAGGGCUGGCG